rnacentral:ncRNA from 1 species
GAGAGGGUCGGGAAACCUCUGAACCACCUCCCGUGAUAGGGAUCGGGGCCUGGAACCAACCCCGUGAACGAGGAAUUCCCGGUAGGCAUGGGUCAUCAGCCCGCGUCGAUCACGUCCCUGCCCUUUGUACACACCGCCCAUCGCUACUGCCGAUCGAACGGUCCGGUGAGGUCCUCGGAUCUAGCCAACGAGUCUGCUUACGCACGGCGGCGUUCCGCGCCGUCAUCGGCGCGUUCUUUGAUGGCCCGGAGAAGACGACCGUAACAAGUGUAACAUCCAGA